CACGACUCUCGGCAACGGAUAUCUCGGCCCUCACCACGAUGAAGAACGUAGCGAAAUGCGAUACAUAGUGUGAAUUGCAGAAUCCCGUGAAUCAUCAAGUCUUUGAACGCAAGUUGCGCCCGAGGCCUUGGCCAAGGGCACGUCUGCCUGGGUGUCGCAUUCAAAUAAACGCCCCUUGYCGGAAUGGCAGCGGAGCGGACCUGGUCAUCCGCGCCCCCGUGGCCCGGUUGGCUAAAAUGGAUUUCGGACCCCCGUCGUCUCGCAUUGGUAAGCGGUGGUUUUGCUGCUUCCGAGCGGCAAGCCGGCAAGCGCCAGUGCGAGGAUCGGAUGGCAUGUCCGACUCGCAACCUCUCUUUCCGUCAUGUCUGUGCUCCUAGGCAGGCAUUCGACGGUCCAUUCAUGGUGCGACCCC
rnacentral:rRNA from 1 species